rnacentral:rRNA from 1 species
UAUACGACUCUCGGCAACGGAUAUCUCGGCUCUCGCAUCGAUGAAGAACGUAGCGAAAUGUGAUACUUGGUGUGAAUUGCAGAAUCCCGUGAACCAUCGAGUCUUUGAAUGCAAGUUGCGCCCGAGGCCUUUCGGUUGAGGGCACGCCUGCCUGGGCGUCACGC